rnacentral:tRNA from 1 species
AAAAAGAUAAGCUAAAUUUUAAGCUGAUGGGUUCAUACCCCAUUCAUGAAUAAUUUCUCUUUUUA